AUUACAGGUUAAGACAUCUGCAAGUCACAUUGAUGUAGUGGGGAUGUCAGAACUUAACCAGGCCUCGCGGGGAAAGGAUAAAAGAUUUCACUUGAGGAACAAGCGCGCAGCACAAAGGUGUUACCUGCAACGACGAGCUCCAGGCUGAACGUGUUUUCACCAGCUCGAUUGCUGGCAACGCAGGUGUAGAUCCCAGCAUCUCUAGCCGUGACUGGCUCUAUGAUCAAGGAGUGCACGCCGUUCUCACGCACCAGCAUCUUGUGCGAGCUAUCGGGACGAAUGGGCCUUCCGUUAAGUUGCCAGCUUAAAUCGGGAGUCGGUAAUCCACUAACCUUCGGUGUGAACAAAACAAUGGGAAACGGUUAGCCAUGCAAAGCACUGGAGGAGUCCUGACUUGUUACUUCAGAGGAGCUGGGGUUUGUUUCCUAGUGCAGGUGUACCACAAGAUUUACUAAUUCCAUCCUGCAUUACACAUUGACUCAGUUGUAUUAAUUUACUUACUUUCUGGCCAACUCCCUGAAUUCCGUGAUGUCUUAUGGGUGUGACUGAAAAAAGAUCGGUGUUUAGAUAGACUAGAAUCUAAAUAAUAAUACAUUGAAAAACAAAAGGCAGGGUGACAUCUUUUGUCCUUUUUGAUUGUUUGCUCUUCAUGUGGAAUACAGAUACUCCUUUCUGAAUUAAUUUCUUGUGGAAAACUUGCAGAGAAAAAGAUGUUAGCUGACUACUUAUUGAACUCUAAAUUCCAUUGCACUGAGGUAUAACCUAGUGACAGCGCUGCCUGCACUAGUUUAUACUUGGUCUGUGUGAACGAGUCCGGCACUGCUGAAAGCCGUGCCACUUGCUGGGGGUACUGCUCAAAAACAAACAGCUUCUCCCAGAUGUACCAGCAGAAAGCAAACAGAAGAAGUCCAAGCCUUAAUUAAUUCUGCAAGGCAAAGUCAUAAAUCAAGAUUAGACUGGCUGAAACUAACAGAGGAUCGAAACUGAAGUGGUAAAAGGACUUAAAAUGGAGAAGCGCUGUCUUUAUGGUGUUUGCUGCUUCCCCCCACGCCCCAACAUAGCUCAACUCUAAAAAUCAGCUUUCUGUUAGCUGUAAAAUUUGCUUGCAGCAAUUUUAUUGGAGGCAAGUUUUUAUUGUCAACUUUUGCUGAUAAGCAGCGAGAUUAAUUAACCCAUUGACACUGCAAAUGGGUAAAAUAGCAUUAAAAAAAUCUUAUCUAACUUGUUUUUUUGAAUCAGCCAAGGUUAUGGAAAGGUAGCUGCUGUCCUUUGCUUGAUGCUUACCUUGCAGUCCAUUCGGCAUAGCUUUCCUUCUUGAACAGUCAUGUCGCCAGGAGCCUGCAGAAAAUGAGGCCGGAAGAAUCGUUCCUGAAUUGGUUCAUUUUCAUCACCACUGUCCCUUGAUCGAGAUCGUGGUCUUAAAAUAACAUGAAAUAAAGGUAAAUUAUUUUUUUUCACUAAAUCAGAAAUAUCUAGAAACACCUAGACAACAAUCUUGCUACAGAAUACUUACUUGUAAUAAUCAUAUAUUUAUACGUGAGAGUACAUUUUGUUUAGUCUUUAAAUCACUGCAAUACAAAUAAAAGAAGCUGGCAAACCUU